rnacentral:rRNA from 1 species
UACGAAGGGGGCUAGCGUUGUUCGGAAUCACUGGGCGUAAAGGGCGCGUAGGCGGCUGUGGCAGUCGGGUGUGAAAGCCCGGAGCUCAACUCCGGAAUGGCACUCGAGACGCCACGGCUGGAGGCCGGAAGAGGAGGGUGGAAUACCCAGUGUAGAGGUGAAAUUCGUAGAUAUUGGGUGGAACACCGGUGGCGAAAGCGGCUCUCUGGUCCGGACCUGACGCUGAGGCGCGAAAGCGUGGGGAGCAAACAGG